GGGUUGUGAGGUUAAGCGACCAAGCGUACACGGUGGAUGCCCUGGCAGUCAGAGGCGAUGAAGGACGUGCUAAUCUGCGAAAAGCGCCGGUAAGGUGAUAUGAACCGUUAUAACCGGCGAUGUCCGAAUGGGGAAACCCAGUGUGACUCGUCACACUAUCAUUAACUGAAUCCAUAGGUUAAUGAGGCGAACCGGGGGAACUGAAACAUCUAAGUACCCCGAGGAAAAGAAAUCAACCGAGAUUCCCCCAGUAGCGGCGAGCGAACGGGGAGGAGCCCAGAGCCUGAAUCAGCAUGUGUGUUAGUGGAAGCGUCUGGAAAGGCGCGCGAUACAGGGUGACAGCCCCGUACACAAAAGCGCAUAUGCUGUGAGCUCGAUGAGUAGGGCGGGACACGUGGUAUCCUGUCUGAAUAUGGGGGGACCAUCCUCCAAGGCUAAAUACUCCUGACUGACCGAUAGUGAACCAGUACCGUGAGGGAAAGGCGAAAAGAACCCCGGCGAGGGGAGUGAAACAGAACCUGAAACCGUGUACGUACAAGCAGUGGGAGCCUCUCUUUAUGGGGGGUGACUGCGUACCUUUUGUAUAAUGGGUCAGCGACUUAUAUUCUGUAGCAAGGUUAACCGCAUAGGGGAGCCGAAGGGAAACCGAGUCUUAACCGGGCGUUAAGUUGCAGGGUAUAGACCCGAAACCCGGUGAUCUAGCCAUGGGCAGGUUGAAGGUUGGGUAACACUAACUGGAGGACCGAACCGACUAAUGUUGAAAAAUUAGCGGAUGACCUGUGGCUGGGGGUGAAAGGCCAAUCAAACCGGGAGAUAGCUGGUUCUCCCCGAAAGCUAUUUAGGUAGCGCCUCGUGAAUUCAUCUCCGGGGGUAGAGCACUGUUUCGGCUAGGGGGCCAUCCCGGCUUACCAACCCGAUGCAAACUGCGAAUACCGGAGAAUGUUAUCACGGGAGACACACGGCGGGUGCUAACGUCCGUCGUGAAGAGGGAAACAACCCAGACCGCCAGCUAAGGUCCCAAAGUCAUGGUUAAGUGGGAAACGAUGUGGGAAGGCCCAGACAGCCAGGAUGUUGGCUUAGAAGCAGCCAUCAUUUAAAGAAAGCGUAAUAGCUCACUGGUCGAGUCGGCCUGCGCGGAAGAUGUAACGGGGCUAAACCAUGCACCGAAGCUGCGGCAGCGACACUUUAGUGUUGUUGGGUAGGGGAGCGUUCUGUAAGCCGUCGAAGGUGUCCUGUGAGGGGUGCUGGAGGUAUCAGAAGUGCGAAUGCUGACAUAAGUAACGAUAAAGCGGGUGAAAAGCCCGCUCGCCGGAAGACCAAGGGUUCCUGUCCAACGUUAAUCGGGGCAGGGUGAGUCGACCCCUAAGGCGAGGCCGAAAGGCGUAGUCGAUGGGAAACGGGUUAAUAUUCCCGUACUUGGUGUUACUGCGAAGGGGGGACGGAGAAGGCUAUGUUGGCCGGGCGACGGUAGUCCCGGUUUAAGCGUGUAGGCUGGUUUUCCAGGCAAAUCCGGAAAAUCAAGGCUGAGGCGUGAUGACGAGGCACCACGGUGCUGAAGCAACAAAUGCCCUGCUUCCAGGAAAAGCCUCUAAGCAUCAGGUAACAUCAAAUCGUACCCCAAACCGACACAGGUGGUCAGGUAGAGAAUACCAAGGCGCUUGAGAGAACUCGGGUGAAGGAACUAGGCAAAAUGGUGCCGUAACUUCGGGAGAAGGCACGCUGACACGUAGGUGAAGUGAUUUACUCAUGGAGCUGAAGUCAGUCGAAGAUACCAGCUGGCUGCAACUGUUUAUUAAAAACACAGCACUGUGCAAACACGAAAGUGGACGUAUACGGUGUGACGCCUGCCCGGUGCCGGAAGGUUAAUUGAUGGGGUCAGCGCAAGCGAAGCUCCUGAUCGAAGCCCCGGUAAACGGCGGCCGUAACUAUAACGGUCCUAAGGUAGCGAAAUUCCUUGUCGGGUAAGUUCCGACCUGCACGAAUGGCGUAAUGAUGGCCAGGCUGUCUCCACCCGAGACUCAGUGAAAUUGAACUCGCUGUGAAGAUGCAGUGUACCCGCGGCAAGACGGAAAGACCCCGUGAACCUUUACUAUAGCUUGACACUGAACAUUGAGCCUUGAUGUGUAGGAUAGGUGGGAGGCUUUGAAGCGUGGACGCCAGUCUGCGUGGAGCCGACCUUGAAAUACCACCCUUUAAUGUUUGAUGUUCUAACGUGGACCCGUGAUCCGGGUUGCGGACAGUGUCUGGUGGGUAGUUUGACUGGGGCGGUCUCCUCCUAAAGAGUAACGGAGGAGCACGAAGGUUGGCUAAUCCUGGUCGGACAUCAGGAGGUUAGUGCAAUGGCAUAAGCCAGCUUGACUGCGAGCGUGACGGCGCGAGCAGGUGCGAAAGCAGGUCAUAGUGAUCCGGUGGUUCUGAAUGGAAGGGCCAUCGCUCAACGGAUAAAAGGUACUCCGGGGAUAACAGGCUGAUACCGCCCAAGAGUUCAUAUCGACGGCGGUGUUUGGCACCUCGAUGUCGGCUCAUCACAUCCUGGGGCUGAAGUAGGUCCCAAGGGUAUGGCUGUUCGCCAUUUAAAGUGGUACGCGAGCUGGGUUUAGAACGUCGUGAGACAGUUCGGUCCCUAUCUGCCGUGGGCGCUGGAAGACUGAGGGGGGCUGCUCCUAGUACGAGAGGACCGGAGUGGACGCAUCACUGGUGUUCGGGUUGUCAUGCCAAUGGCACUGCCCGGUAGCUAAAUGCGGAAAAGAUAAGUGCUGAAAGCAUCUAAGCACGAAACUUGCCCCGAGAUGAGUCUUCCCUGAGACUUUGAGUCUCCUGAAGGAACGUUAAAGACGAUGACGUUGAUAGGCCGGGUGUGUAAGCGCAGCGAUGCGUUGAGCUAACCGGUACUAAUGAACCGUGAGGCUUAACCUUACAACGCCGAAGCUGUU
rnacentral:rRNA from 1 species